GACGAACGCUGGCGGCAUGCCUAACACAUGCAAGUCGAGCGAGCUGAUUCCUUCGGGAUGAAGCUAGCGGCGGACGGGUGAGUAACACGUGGGCAACCUGCCUCAUAGAGGGGAAUAGCCUUCCGGAAGGAAGAUUAAUACCGCAUAAGAUUGCAUCUUCGCAUGAAGAAGCAAUUAAAGGAGCAAUCCGCUAUGAGAUGGGCCCGCGGCGCAUUAGUUAGUUGGUGAGGUAACGGCUCACCAAGGCGACGAUGCGUAGCCGACCUGAGAGGGUGAUCGGCCACAUUGGGACUGAGACACGGCCCAGACUCCUACGGGAGGCAGCAGUGGGGAAUAUUGCACAAUGGGGGAAACCCUGAUACAGCAAUGCCGCGUGAGUGAUGACGGCCUUCGGGUUGUAAAGCUCUGUCUUCGGGGAUGAUAAUGACGGUACCCGAGGAGGAAGCCACGGCUAACUACGUGCCAGCCGCCGCCGUAA
rnacentral:rRNA from 1 species